rnacentral:rRNA from 1 species
UACGGGGGGGGUAAGCGUUGUUCGGAAUUACUGGGCGUAAAGGGCUCGUAGGCGGCCAACUAAGUCAGACGUGAAAUCCCUCAGCUUAACUGGGGAACUGCGUCUGAUACUGGAUGGCUUGGAUUCGGGAGAGGAAUGCGGAAUUCCAGGUGUAGCGGUGAAAUGCGUAGAUAUCGGGAGGAACACCAAUUGCGAAGGCAGCUCGCUGGGACGUUACUGACGCUGAGACGCGAAAAGCGUGGGGAGCAAACAGGG